CUGGGAUUACAGGUCUUGCUCUUCUUUAAGUUGUGCCAAAUAUGAUAUGACUGCAUAGUGUUUUCGUAAGAAUACCAUUGGGAAAAUGAGACGUUGUACUGGGCUAGUUCUUCCGUGAUUUGAGGAUGAUAUUCAGAUUAUAAGAUACCCUUUGUCUUUCUUACAGUAAUGAAGUAUAAGCUCCAUAUCUGUUCCAGAGACUUUAACUUGACUUUGCUUCAUUCACAAAGAACAGAGUUCCUGAAGCAAUGCAUCCUGUGAGAAGUGUGAAGUGUUUGUACAUCACUUUAAAUAUAUUACUUAAUAUAUUCUAAGUUGCUGUGUGGAGCAGUAUACUGUUGUUUUAAAAAUGCAAGAUUCAGACAAAUUUUAAUAUUAUCUCAUUAAAAUAAUUAAAAUAAUGGUAUAAAAUAUCUAUGUCAUUAAAAUAAGUUUCCAUAGUCUUUAGAAACCAUGAAAAAGAAAACAUAGCAGGAGAAAAUAUGACAGGAAAAGAAAACCUAACAAAGCCCAGAACCCACAGUUAACCAAACGAGACUGACUUUGUUAUUACCCAUUCUUUGUUAGUAUUGGAUGGGGAAUUAGGAUAAUGAGCCAUUAGGCAGUUCUGAAAUGGAAAGCCCUGAAAUUUAGUGCAAUGUAACUUUAAAACUGAAAUUAUAUAAAGAGUAGAAUUACAACCAAAAGUCUAUUGCCUUUUUGUACAGAAAUCUCCUUAAUUUCAGGACAUAUAGAUAGUUUAUAGAAACAUCCUUUUAAAUAGUUUGUGAGCUCUUCCUCUUCAGUGGAAUUGAGGAGUACAGAAUGCUUUAUUUCAUCAUCCCCUGACAGGUGACUUAGGCUUUGCAGAGCAGAUUUAUUUUUCUCUGUGUUUUUUAAAAAUUGUUUUUCUUGUAUCUUUUUUCUUCAAAAAUAUCUAUAUUUGAGAAUAUGUACAUAACAACUUUCCAAAGUCUCUGUGGCCAAAAAACUCUCCAGGGAUAAGACUGAGCAAGAAUAUAAUACCUCAAAAAAUGUACAGCUACUGUUUAAGUUUUAAACAGACACCAUCACAGUUUGUGGAUGAAAUAGUUUUAAGCCAUAUACUUUCUUUUUCUCCCCAUAUUAAUAUUGGGGGACAGAUAAUAUCACUUUGAUGUACAUUGAUAUUAAAGUUUGGUAAUGCAGCUUUUACUGUCUACGUAGUACUGUACAUUAGUUUUUAAGCAGAAAUACAAGAAAAAUGGGUAUAAUUUCAAACUAGUUCUUGGCAGAUGGCUAGAGACUACUGUAAGUGACCCUGUAUCCCGAAUACGCAGAUAUCCCUCUAUUACAAGUUUGGGAUUAGCCAUAAUUCUGACAUGGUGUGUUCAGGUAUGGGUAUAUGUUGUUAGUCUACACUUGUGGAAGCAAAUAUCUUGUUUAAUCAAGAUGAUGUCUAGUGUCACCUAGAUAAAUAAUGCAAAAAGUUUAAUUCUGGCUGAAUUCAGCUUUACUCAAGAUCCACAUAUUCAAGUAUCGUUCCACAGAUAUUUCUGUGUUCUGUGAAUAUCUGUUGAUUCUUAAUAUGCCUGUGGCUAAGGGAUGCAAAGUAGAAUUGCUUUACGUUGACUGUAUAUGUGACAUGUACGAUGCUGGGUUUUUUUUAAGUAACUUUAGCAUAAUAUUCACGUAGAUCCUGGGUUCUAGAAUAUUUAAAACAAAAGGAUAAAAUGAUAAACCAAAAAGUCAACUUGUUAACUUUUCUUUUUUAAGAGAUGAGUUAUCACUAGUAUGCCCAGUCUGGACUCCAACUCCUGGGCUCAAAGAUCCUCCAGCCUCAGGUUCCUGAGUAGCUGAACAUUUUAUAUAUGUAUGAUGCUAUAAAGAAAUAUUCUUCCAAAUGAACUUUUGUUUUUAGAUCAAUAAAUGAAUAAUAAAUAAUUUUGUACAAACAUCAA
rnacentral:sRNA from 1 species